rnacentral:rRNA from 1 species
UACGUAGGGACCGAGCGUUGUCCGGAAUCAUUGGGCGUAAAGAGCGUGUAGGCGGCUAUUUAAGUCCUGCGUGAAAUCCUGCGGCUCAACCGCAGACGGUCGUGGGAAACUGGAUGGCUAGAGUGCGGGAGAGGAGAGUGGAAUUCCCGGUGUAGCGGUGAAAUGCGCAGAUAUCGGGAAGAACACCCGUGGCGAAGGCGGCUCUCUGGAACGCAACUGACGCUGAGACGCGAUAGCGUGGGGAGCAAACAGG